rnacentral:rRNA from 1 species
UACAGAGGGUGCGAGCGUUAAUCGGAAUUACUGGGCGUAAAGCGUGCGUAGACGGUUAUUUAAGUCGGGUGUGAAAGCCCCGGGCUCAACCUGGGAAUUGCAUUCGAGACUGAAUAGCUAGGGUACGGUAGAGGGAAGUGGAAUUUCCGGUGUAGCGGUGAAAUGCGUAGAUAUCGGAAGGAACAUCAGUGGCGAAAGCGACUUCCUGGACCAAUACUGACGCUCAUGUGCGAAAGCGUGGGGAGCCAAACAGG